rnacentral:sRNA from 1 species
GUCAGGUGUGGUGACGCACGCCUGUAACCCCAGUGGCUUGGGAGGCUGAGGCAGGAGGAUCUGGAGUUCAAAGCCAGUCUCAGCAACAGUGAAGUGCCAAGCAACUCACUGAGACCCUGUCUUUA